rnacentral:lncRNA from 1 species
AAAGGAUUUGCUAUUCCUCCAUUUUGGUGGAAUAGUGCUAUUUCAAUGCUUAAUUUCAAACUUAAUUAAAAUUAUAAAUUGAAUUAAAACUAAAUUAUAUAAAUAUAAUAUAUUAUAUAUUAUAAUACAUUAUUUUUAUUAUAAAAUUAUUAAUUGUACUAUAUUAAUACAUAUUAUUUAUAUUUAAAUAUUAUAAUAAAAUUUAUAAUAAAUUAUAUUUAAAUAUNGAAUUAAAACUAAAUUAUAUAAAUAUAAUAUAUUAUAUAUUAUAAUACAUUAUUUUUAUUAUAAAAUUAUUAAUUGUACUAUAUUAAUACAUAUUAUUUAUAUUUAAAUAUUAUAAUAAAAUUUAUAAUAAAUUAUAUUUAAAUAUUAUAAUAAAUUCUUUUUAUUAAAUUUAAGUUUAAGUAGAAUUUUAAAAAAAUUUAAAUUUAAAAGGAUAAUAUCAUUACUUUUUUUAAAAAAAUUAUUAAAUUUAAAUUUUUAAAAAUUCAAAUUUAAAUAUAAUAAGAGGAUAAUAUCAUUACUUUUUAUUUAUAAAACCCACUAUCAUUCUUAUUUCAUCCUACCUAACCAAAUGCUAUUUUUUUUAUUCACAGAAAUAACCCAAUUUUCCUCCAAACACAAAAUUGAUCUAAUCCCCGCUUAUACCUCAAUUUAUACAUAUUCCUGGAAUAGUCACUUUUUGCUUAUCCCCGAACCAAACAAUACUUAACAGUUUCAAGGUCCGGACACUAAUGUAAGGUCCGGACCUUGAACCUGUCACAAGUUUUCGAAAUCCUAUUUUUUCAAUCCUAACCCGAUUCUAAUCUCCU